GCCGGGCGUGGUGGCGCACGCCUGUAAUCCCAGCUACUCGGGAGGCUGAGGCAGGAGAAUCGCUUGAACCCGGGAGGCGGAGGUUGCGGUGAGCCGAGAUCGCGCCAUUGCACUCCAGCCUGGGUAACAAGAGCGAAACUCCGUCUCAA
rnacentral:SRP_RNA from 1 species